CCUGGUUCCUACUGUCGCCCACAUACUGCAGUUUUGUGGCUUCGCUGCUGGAAACAGCGAGUGACCUCGACCACAAACUGACUGAUGGACUGACUUCCUGUGUCGGCAGGGCGGCGUGUAUCCGGAGCUCCGCAGGGAGGCAGACAGGAUCAUGGACGUCAUCA